UAUUUAGUGCCUCAAAGUAGUAUAUCCUCUUUGCCAAGCGUUUGAGUUGAACUAAUUCGCAAAAUGUGAAGAGAGCGUUCGGCCCCCCUUCAAAUGCUUCGAGAGAGUGAAGCUCCUCCCCUUCCUCCAUUCGUCAUCCAUCAAUUUUUCUCCACGCACUCACACAUCUACACGCGCAGCUGUUCGCAUGGCAACACGUGAGAUGCGUGACAUGCUUUCUCGCUCAUCACGAAGGAUUUGCUUCGAAAGAGCUCGGCUUGGUUGGUUGGGGUACUGGUGGUUUUGUACGCGUAGGAGGGGGGGGGACAUACGGAGCGAUGGUUCGAUGCUGUAGUGUAAGCGAGACAACACGAUGUGACGAGCAGAUCCAAGUUGGUGAGCUCGCUGAAAGAAGACACACACAUUCACAGACGGCUCGUCAAAGCACGGUAUUUGUAUUGGUGUUAGUGAAGCGCGCGUGUAAAACAGAAUGCGAACUCUCAUCGCAGCGCGUUUCUCCUUGCUUCCUCAAGCUUCCACAUACCCCUCGGCCUGAAUCACUCAAAAUUUGGGGACUCAUUGUUUGCGUGGUAGCUUUGAAGGAAUCAUUCGACACACUCGCACUCCACUACCCCAUCCCUUGGAAAAACGCUCCCACCAUCGAGGUGUUGACCAAAAUUUCGCUGUGUGCAUGAGACACACACUAGCACUCCUCCAGCCCUCCAUAACCGAUCGCUCCCACCGUUGCGAAGAAGGGAGAAGUUUUGCUCUGAGCGUGAGACCCUGUCAAAUGCAGCGAAUAUCAUUAAGUGUUAAUAGAAAAGUGGUAAAGUUAAUCGUGACAGAUGUCAACGCACGCGUAAAUUCCAUUUUUUUGUUACUUGAUCUACGGGUAAGUGUAUGCAUAAAACGAAGAAUGAUCCAAAUGAUGUUUGUCUUCUAACAAUCGUACUGCUUACAAUGUUUAUUUAUUCUUCUGUUAUUUUCCAUCACACCUAGCUAUUUCAUUACCAAAGCUCCUGAUAACAGAUCAAAGCGGGCUUACAAAGUCGCCGUUUAAUUUAAAAUAUCUUCGUGAUCGGUAAGUUUUAAAUAGUACUAGUUUUGUUCACCAUUCUAAUUCUCAAUUUAUCUUUCAUUCCUCUGGAAAACGCAUCAAACAGCAAGUGUUUUUCUUCCAACAGCACGCGCCAUCGGUGGAGCAAGCAGGCAACAUUUUGUUCGCCCAGCACGCACCAUCAUGAAUUGAAAUAUUCUUGAAUAGCUCUGUGAAUAAAAAACUGCACAGUUACUGCCCGAAUUUCCUGGAAUUUUUUGAUCUGUCUACGCUCGCGGGAAUGGUGGGUUCGUUGAGGAGAAGGAAACAAAGGGUGGGAGCGAGGAUUAACCAAAAACGCGGCAUUAAGAAUGAGGAGACCCAAGUAGCAGAACCGAAGUUUUUCAGAGAUUUUUCUGUGUGCCCAAGCGAGAUGCCUUGUCUUCUCUCUCUAGAUUUUGGACAGCAAACCGCCGCGCGUGUGUGCGUGUGACGAAAAAUGAUGGAUGAAAAACGCGAGGAGCGGGGUCUGAAGUCUUUCGUUGGUCACACACACAUGCAUCUACCAGCGGAUUGCGCUACACCAAGUCUACCCAUCUUUCUCGAUCUACCAUGAUUUUUUCUGCUAUCGCGCUCAUCCGGGUGUUAGGCAUCCUCAGUCUGUCCAGAACUUUCGUUGUGGAAGGAUGUGCGGGAGUGAUGUGCGAUUUCUUGUGUCCCCUACUUUCCUUGUUUACGUUUUGCGCAGUGUUGCUUCUUAUUCCAUUGUGGAAUGAUUUAUCCUAGCUAACUUGUUGAGGCAAGUUUCUUGAUCUCAUUGUGCUUCAAUGUACCAAUUCAACUAAUGCUUAUCGUUUUCAAAGUUACAGGUGCAUGCGCCAUUCAUCAACGCCUACGUGUUGGCAUCAUCAACAAUCUUCAAAAUGGGUGACGGAAGGAAAUUGUUUUCCAGUUUUAAAAUAUUAAGCGUUCAGCACAACUCAGCCACAAAACAACGCACUGGAUUGCGCUAAGAACCUGUCGAAACGCGCGCAGCCCCCGGGAGCGGUAGGAGAAAGGAAGAAUGAGAGGAGGAAAAACUAAAACCAGCGCGCAGCUCUGAUGGUACUCUGGACGCGGUAAGAAGAAACAAGAUCGAGAGGAGGAAGAACGGUAAAUUUGGAAGGGGGAGACCGUUCUGCCGUCUACAUAGUGUGAGUAUGCCAAAGCACGUGUUGGAAGGGAGAGAAAAAGUUGGAAUAAACCUCAUGCGAAUGUGUGCAUACAGCAAAUGUAAA